UUCUACUUAAACUAUUCCUUG
rnacentral:tRNA from 5 species